GGUUCUAUGGUGUAAUGGUGAGCACUUCAGACAUUGGAUCAGUGAUCUGAGUUCAAGGCUUGGUAGAUCCG